GAUGAACGCUGGCGGCGUGCCUAAUACAUGCAAGUCGAGCGAACGGACGAGAAGCUUGCUUCUCUGAUGUUAGCGGCGGACGGGUGAGUAACACGUGGAUAACCUACCUAUAAGACUGGGAUAACUUCGGGAAACCGGAGCUAAUACCGGAUGAUAUUUUGAACCGCAUGGUUCAAAAGUGAAAGACGGUCUUGCUGUCACUUAUAGAUGGAUCCGCGCUGCAUUAGCUAGUUGGUAAGGUAACGGCUUACCAAGGCAACGAUGCAUAGCCGACCUGAGAGGGUGAUCGGCCACACUGGAACUGAGACACGGUCCAGACUCCUACGGGAGGCAGCAGUAGGGAAUCUUCCGCAAUGGGCGAAAGCCUGACGGAGCAACGCCGCGUGAGUGAUGAAGGUCUUCGGAUCGUAAAACUCUGUUAUUAGGGAAGAACAUAUGUGUAAGUAACUGUGCACAUCUUGACGGUACCUAAUCAGAAAGCCACGGCUAACUACGUGCCAGCAGCCGCGGUAAUACGUAGGUGGCAAGCGUUAUCCGGAAUUAUUGGGCAUAAAGCGCGCGUAGGCGGUUUUUUAAGUCUGAUGUGAAAGCCCACGGCCCAACCGUGGAGGGUCAUUGGAAACUGGAAAACUUGAGUGCAGAAGAGGAAAGUGGAAUUCCAUGUGUAGCGGUGAAAUGCGCAGAGAUAUGGAGGAACACCAGUGGCGAAGGCGACUUUCUGGUCUGUAACUGACGCUGAUGUGCGAAAGCGUGGGGAUCAAACAGGAUUAGAUACCCUGGUAGUCCACGCCGUAAACGAUGAGUGCUAAGUGUUAGGGGGUUUCCGCCCCUUAGUGCUGCAGCUAACGCAUUAAGCACUCCGCCUGGGGAGUACGACCGCAAGGUUGAAACUCAAAGGAAUUGACGGGGACCCGCACAAGCGGUGGAGCAUGUGGUUUAAUUCGAAGCAACGCGAAGAACCUUACCAAAUCUUGACAUCCUUUGACAACUCUAGAGAUAGAGCCUUCCCCUUCGGGGGACAAAGUGACAGGUGGUGCAUGGUUGUCGUCAGCUCGUGUCGUGAGAUGUUGGGUUAAGUCCCGCAACGAGCGCAACCCUUAAGCUUAGUUGCCAUCAUUAAGUUGGGCACUCUAAGUUGACUGCCGGUGACAAACCGGAGGAAGGUGGGGAUGACGUCAAAUCAUCAUGCCCCUUAUGAUUUGGGCUACACACGUGCUACAAUGGACAAUACAAAGGGCAGCGAAACCGCGAGGUCAAGCAAAUCCCAUAAAGUUGUUCUCAGUUCGGAUUGUAGUCUGCAACUCGACUACAUGAAGCUGGAAUCGCUAGUAAUCGUAGAUCAGCAUGCUACGGUGAAUACGUUCCCGGGUCU
rnacentral:rRNA from 1 species